CCCUAUUCAAGAUGGAGACGCCCUGGUUCAGACGCCUCUGACAGAUGCUCCAAGAUGAUGUGAAGCAAAUUUCACGACUAACGAUGGCCCGAAGGCUCCUUCCCUCCACGGGAUUCUGCUCCAGCCACAGCAGAGACUAUUUUGCACACCUUCCAGACAUUGCUGCCCCAUUCCAGGUACCUCAAGAUACAAGUGCCCUUCUUGUCUCAUGGACUCAAUCAGGAGAUAUGAAGAUUGACAACUGAUUGGCAAAAGUGAAGUCACUGUGUGACCUGUCCUGAAAAGAUGGUGGCUGCAUCUAGAAACAGUGACGUGUUUGGGGAACAAUGGAGUAGAGUCAGAGACGCACCUACUAAGACAUUUUGGCUGCUGGGCACCUGAACAUGAGCAAUGUGAAGCUUCCGGUGCGUGUUUCCAUAGAGAGUUUUCUGAUAAUGUGUCAGUUAUUUUUAGCCACAAAACACUAUAAGACAACUGAGCAUGCUUUUCAGUGGCUAACAACUAUAAGCAUUAAUUUUGCUCAUGCACUAAGGGAUGACUGAGCCCUUCUGCUGGCCUGGGCCACGCCUAACUGAUUGCAGCUGGGCUAGCUCUUGCAUCAGCUGGUGGAUUGGCCUGGGGCAGGCUGGCCUGGGGUAGCUUUGGUUGGGAUGAUUUUUUUCUGCUCUGUGGUCUUUCAUCUUGUGAUAGGCUAGUCUCGGCUUUUCCUACAGUGGAGGCAGGGGUCUGAGGGAAGAAGUGGAAACACUUGAGGCCUGGGAGGCCUACUCUGAUAAUAAGCCAAGUCACCUCUGCUGCAUUCUAUUGGUUAGAGCAAGCCACAGCUCAGCCCAGACACAAGAGUUGGGCAACACCCUCUACUUCUUGAUGAGAGGAGCUAACAUGUAACUUUGCAAAUGGAAUAAAUAUAGAAAAAGGUGAAAA
ensembl:lncRNA novel transcript